rnacentral:lncRNA from 1 species
CAUUUUAUUGGUAAUUACAGAGUUACUUUAUUUGCAUAUUACAGAGCUGCUAGUGGCCCUAGUGAAAAUGCUUAAUGUCGCUGAGCAUCUUGGAAGGAAUUACUCAACCCAGGGAGGGAGAAUUCAGUAAUUAUUUCCUUAAAACUAGAAUUUGCUAAUAACUUUGCAGUAGAUCACUUUGUGCUCCCCAAUACAGCAAUUAAAUAAUAGCAAUUAAGUGCCAAAGUAACUCAGGCAUAGGGCCUAUCCCCAAAUAGGACCUCUGCUUUAUUUCCUUUGAAAGAGGAAUAAAGCUACAGUUGGCCCUUUUGACUCCUGAACCACCAGGGAACACCGAUUCCUCUUAGAGCCAGUUAGAGAAGGCUGGUGCUAAAUGUCAUCUCCUCAUCUUCAGAGCAGGAUCUGGAAACCCAGAGAGACGCCUAGGGUCCAUCCUGCAGCGAGGAAAGGCCGGCUCUCCAGAGCAGGAUCUGGAAACCCAGAGAGAGGCCUAGGGUCCAUCCUGCAGCGAGGAAAGGCCGGCUCUCCAGAGCAGGAUCUGGAAACCCAGAGAGACGCCUAGGGUCCAUCCUGCAGCGAGGAAAGGCCGGCUCUCCAGAGCAGGAUCUGGAAACCCAGAGAGACGCCUAGGGUCCAUCCUGCAGCGAGGAAAGGCCGGCUCUCCAGAGCAGGAUCUGGAAACCCAGAGAGACGCCUAGGGUCCAUCCUGCAGCGAGGAAAGGCCGGCUCUUCAGAGCAGGAUCUGGAAACCCAGAGAGAGGCCUAGGGUCCAUCCUGCAGCGAGGAAAGGCCGGCUCUCCACUCUAGCAGCUGGGAUGGCAGGCACAGAGGUCAGGUAAGAGGAUUCUGGCAUCAAGCUGGCUGGGCUUGUUGGCUGGGUCCGGCUUAUCAUCCAGGUGUCUUGGACAGGUUACUCAACCUCUCUAGGUCUCAGUUUUCUCAUCAGUAAAGUGGGGGGUCAGCAUGUGAUCGACUGCACCUGGUGCCACUUGGGGUUUGAUCUGCCCAGGAUCAAAUCCUGGCUCCACAUGCACACACCCAGAGGUAGUGUGACAUUGGGCCACUCAUACGCUCUCUGAGAGCACCAGUUUCUCACAGGGGCCCCUGAUCCUUCUGCAGUCCUUGAUCCUUCUGUGAUAGGGCUGAGUCCACUCUCUAUUUUAUCUUUCUGCAAGAUCUGCUCCAGUGUGGUAUUCUAUUUAAUAAUGUAAAAUGCUAUUUCAUGGAGGAGAGAGUACGGAAAGGUAUCUUUUAAAAGAUUUGCUUUCCCACCUCCAUGGCCGGCCUGACCCCUGCCUCCAGGUAGGUUUGUGAGGAAUAUGCAGUGGCCCUCUGAGAAGGAAUAUCCAAUGAGAUAGAAGAGGUCCAGCCCUCAGUACAGGACUUGGCAUCGAGCUCCGUAAUGGCUAGUCCCCAUGUGCAGCUUGGCCUUGCCUGGUAUUAUACCUAGGAAGUUUUUCUCUGUAGCUUAAGGCAUUGGUCCAGAGUCAUAUUUCUUCCCAGCCUCGAUGCUGAUCUCACUGUUAUUGAUCAUUUACAUUUUGGCAUGGCCUUUUCUG